GCGGAGAGGGCGGGGGAACGCCGUGAGAACUACAAAACCCAUGGUGCAUUGCGGGAGAAGGGGGUGGGUAAACCGAGAAGCUAGAGUGACUCGAAUCGGCCCUCACAGAAUGUGAACCCUACUGGAAGAGAAACGUGUGUACAGUUCCUCGUUAGUAUAGUGAUUUAGCUUUCACGGUGCUCAAGCCACUACCCAAGAGGCAAAGUUUUGCUGUAAAUAUUCAGCUUCCAAGGUCCCAGAAAGGCAUUCUCAUUGGUGCAUGGACAAAGGUGAAAGGAAGAGGAACAAGGAGCUCAGGGCACUGAGCAGGGUUUUACAAGGUCAGCCUCUCUCCACAUGCAGGAUACUUUGGUCUCACCUAAGUCAUCCAGAGACUCCCAGUGAUAAACCUUUUGGUUGCUAGGAGAAGAGGGGUAUUUUGGCCUGUUAGAAGGUGCUGAAACACUUUGCAACAGGUGUGCAGUGUGUUUUCUUCUCCAGAGGAUGUUAUUUAACUGUGCAUGGAGAUCUGGCAGCCUCAGGAUGUCAUCAUGACUGGCUCAAUGAGCAGAUGCCCCACAAGUGUAAACCACAAGAUAAGGAAGCUACAGCUCUCAGCAGAGGCCACAACUUGACAAUGUAAGAGCAGUGAAUGGCCUGCCUACAUGGACACAGGGAAAGAAUCCAGUAAAGUGUUAGAAGACCCCAGACCAAAAACUACAAUUGGACCAAGAAAGGCAUGUGACGAGCAUGGGGAGGCAGGAGGGUGCCCCUAAAGGCAUCCAGCUCAAGCUAAUCUGCUGCUGUACCACUCUAUGAAAUUGUUUAUUUUUAUAAAUUCUGAUGGCUGAGACUCUUCCAUGUAAAAUCUACAGUCCAGCCCAAAUGAGGAGAAAGUGCAUCUGAGGGUGGGGGGUGUGUGAGCGAUGAGUUGAAAGGGACACCCAUUGCUCAUGGAACUGC